rnacentral:rRNA from 1 species
GCGAGAAAACUUUGCAAUGUGCGAAAGCACGACAAGGUUAAUCCGAGUGGUUUCUGCUAAAGAAACCUUUUGUCAGUCCUAGAAGCACUAACGAAUAAGGGGUGGGCAAGUUCUGGUGUCAGCCGCCGCGGUAAAACCAGCACCUCAAGUGGUCAGGAUGAUUAUUGGGCCUAAAGCAUCCGUAGCUCGUUUUGUAAGUUUUCGGUUAAAUCCAUGCGCUUAACGUAUGGGCUGCCGGGAAUACUGCAUAACUAGGAAGUGGGAGAGGUAGACGGUACUCGGUAGGAAGGGGUAAAAUCCUUUGAUCUAUUGAUGACCACCUGUGGCGAAGGCGGUCUACCAGAACACGUUCGACGGUGAGGGAUGAAAGCUGGGGGAGCAAACCGGAUUAGAUACCCAUGUAGUCCCUGAGCGGGCUGGCAAGGCGCAU